rnacentral:rRNA from 1 species
CCUACGGGUGGUGCAGUGGGGAAUAUUGCACAAUGGGCGCAAGCCUGAUGCAGCCAUGCCGCGUGUGUGAAGAAGGCCUUCGGGUUGUAAAGCACUUUCAGCGGGGAGGAAGGCGUUAAGGUUAAUAACCUUGUCGAUUGACGUUACCCGCAGAAGAAGCACCGGCUAACUCCGUGCCAGCAGCCGCGGUAAUACGGAGGGUGCAAGCGUUAAUCGGAAUUACUGGGCGUAAAGCGCACGCAGGCGGUCUGUCAAGUCGGAUGUGAAAUCCCCGGGCUCAACCUGGGAACUGCAUUCGAAACUGGCAGGCUAGAGUCUUGUAGAGGGGGGUAGAAUUCCAGGUGUAGCGGUGAAAUGCGUAGAGAUCUGGAGGAAUACCGGUGGCGAAGGCGGCCCCCUGGACAAAGACUGACGCUCAGGUGCGAAAGCGUGGGGAGCAAACAGGAUUAAUACCCGGGUAGUC